rnacentral:rRNA from 1 species
UACAGAGGGUGCGAGCGUUGUCCGGAAUCACUGGGCGUAAAGGGCGCGUAGGUGGCUGCCCAAGUCCAUGGUGAAAGCUCGAUGCUCAACAUCGAGUCGGCCACGGAUACUGGGUUGCUCGAGCACUGUAGGGGCAGAUGGAAUUCCGGGUGUAGCGGUGGAAUGCGUAGAGAUCCGGAAGAACACCGGUGGCGAAGGCGGUCUGCUGGGCAGUUGCUGACACUGAGGCGCGACAGCGUGGGGAGCAAACAGG